rnacentral:misc_RNA from 1 species
GGUGGUUUGGUCACGUGAUAAUUAUAAACAACUCUCUCAUACUCAUCUUGCUGUGGCAAGUGUCUGUUGGCUUUGCUCUAGUGUUUUGUAGUGUGGUGUAUUGGAUAUACAGUGCUCAGGUUCGAACAUUUCAUUUUUCAGCCUAUAGUAGGCCUUUUGUGUAGUAGAAGAGUAGACUCAGGUCCAAGUGACAGUCAUUGAUAGAGCCCAGGACACGCCUUACUUUUGCCUUUGAUAAAAUGAGUGUACACCCUACCCCAGGAGCCCCACCACCCCCUUACCCAGGGGACAGCGCCUACCCCCCAGCUCCACCGGCUGGCUACUAUGGCGGCCCACCACCCCAAGCCUACGGUGGGCCAGCACAGCCGGGGUACGGCCCCCCACCGCCCCCAGCUGGGUACGGGCCACCACCACCCCAAGGCUACGGACCACCCCCACCCCAGGGGUACGGGCCUCCCCCACCUCAAGGAUACGGCUAUGGGUACGGUCAGGGUCAGGCAGCCCCGUACCCUCAGCAACCGUACCCUCAGCAACCUUAUCAGGGAGGACCGUACCAGCAGCAACCGGCACAACAAGUAGUGUAUGUGGAUGACAGGCGUAAGAACAAUGACCGGGACAAUUCGGCAGAAACCUGUUGCAUCAUCGGCCUGUGCAGUGCCCUGCUCUGUUGCUGUCUUAUGGACUGAUCUAUCUAAGAUGAGGCCUGAUCUGACCGACAUUCCACAGUGCACUUUAAAAAUAUAUACAUCUAAAUUAUACUUUCUUUUUCUUUUUAGUGUCUAUACUAUUCUGACAAAAUUAUUUUUCUUUAUGCGUAUAUAAUAUAUAUAUAUAUAUAAUAUAUAUAUUUCUAACAUAUCUUUUCUCUUAGAAUCAAAGUAGUAUUUGAUAAACUUACCUUUUCUUGUAUAAUGUUGACAGUUAUGAAGAGCAUUUUAUUUUUGUCUUGUUUGUUAACUUAGCUAUGCUUUGAAAUCGCCAUCCUUAUUUGAUUAUUCACAAGUCUGUAUGAAGCAAUAGCAAACUUGCGUCUGAUCACAUAAAAGAUGAUUUCACCACAGCAUUUAAGAAUGAAUUUACAAAGGUAUGUCAAAAUAGUGCAUGUUGAUUUAAAAUAAUGGCAAAAAUCUUUGAUUUGGGAACUGAUUAAUCACAGGUGUGCUAGAAUGGCAGUCUCCAGCAUUGAAAUGUAUUAUCUGAUUUUUGUCAUCUUUGUCAACCUAUUAUUUGUUUCUGUACUUUUACUGAGAAAAUUGUAUGUCCUCCUUGCAUUAUGUGUCAUUUGAAAAUAUUUUUAAAAUUUGUUCUUGUCAAAUGAGGCCUAGACGUAACACAAAUUGGGAGCAUGGGGAUGUCAAAUUUCAGUUAGAUAUUAAAUUUACUUACCUUUGAAAAAUAUUGAAUAUGAUCUUUUCUCUCUUAACGCAUACUCUGCAAAAUUGGGCGGCAGCUCAUCUUGUGACUUUUCUUUCCCUCUGUGUUUUUUUGGUGUGUUUGUUUUACUUUGCACUAAAUGGCCUUAAUUGUGUCAAUGUGCUUGUCUUUACUCAAGGAAUAUUGGGGUCUUCCCUGAAAUGUUUCCCCAGCUGCUAAUUUCCUGUUUCUUUUCAGCUCUAGUGACUUGAGCUCUUGUUCCAAUUUUGUAAAAGAUUUCUUUUUGUGUUCAGGAUGUGAACUUAAUUCACUGCAAGGAUCUAAUUACAAGAAUAAUUUGGGAUGUUAUCUACUAGAAACAUGUAAGAUAUUCACUUUUUAUCUCACUUGUAGUCACAGCACAUUGAGCUGCAUUUUUCAUGAAAGAUACAAUAAAAGCUGUGGAAAUCCAAGAUGAAAAAGUAAUUGAUGGGUUGUUACUAUACUGGCAAGUUUUCCGUCACUAAUUCUUCAUCUUUGUUAGUUUUUAUAAGAUAUCUGUACUGUCACUGCAGAGAAAAUGGUUGCGCAGAUUUUCUAUCAUUGUACACUCAGUUUCUCUUGUCACACCUUCACCUUUCUUACUGCAAAUGUUAGCUCAUUAAAUGUUGAGCACAAUGCCAUAGUUUCUCUUGGCCAAAAUAUUUAUUCCCUUAUCCAGUUUAAGGAUGGCAGGAAUAACUAUAAAGCAAUUACUUUCCUUUGAAAUUUUCUUUAAAUUGAAAACUUGUCUGUGACUUGUUUACUUGGACUAAGACUUGACAAUAUGAAAUAUCUAUUGAAGGUGCUUUACAGACUGUAUUGUUUUGUCCUGUUGUUUCUUGGAAAAUCUGCUGCAGUUACAUGUGUGACAAAAUAUAACAGACCACCAUAAUCAAUAAUUGGAUACUUUACAAACAAUUGAAGUUUCAGUCCAUCUUUUCAAUGCUCAAGAGAAUAAAUAAUUGGUCUAGUAGCUUGUUUGUCGCCCUUGCUUAUCUUUGUUUAUGGUUAACUUGAAGUCUUAUCUCAAGUGGAGGAAGAAAUGAGAACCUAAACUUUGUUCAAAUUCUCGCAUAAAAGUCUUAGCUAUUUCAGGCACCUUAAUUUUACUGGAUUAUCUUCAAUUCAUGUCUGUCAUUGAGAAAUUUAUAUUGAUAAUGGUACAGAUCCUGUAAACUUUAAAUCAGAAUCUGACAUAUUAAAAUAUUUAUACUGGAUACCCCUAGAUUGGCUGUGGGUAUGUACCUGUGUGUAUGAGCUCAUGUAUAAAUGUAUGCAUCAAUGGGUUUGUGUUUUUAGGGGAGGAGAGAGGUUCACAGGUAAUGUACUGAUUAAAAAAGACUGAAUUUUGACUGUUGGGAAUGUCAGUGAGUUGGUUGCUUUAUUGCACCUUUUUGAAUGUAUUUUCUGAGGAUGAAACUGUCAUGCAUGUUAUUUUAUUUCAAUUUAUAUUGCUGAUUUGGUGCACAUAUUUAUGUAUAUAUUUUAUCAGUAUAUAUGUAUGUUUUCCGUAUGUUUAUGCCCAUAAAUAUCGACAUGCUUGCAAUUGCAAGGGGGGAAGGGCAUUGAUCUGCAAAUACGCAGGCAUUUAUCAGAUGUUUCAUUUAUGUCACAAAAACAAUUUAUUGGAUUUUUGGUACAGUAUCAAGCAGAGGGUAUAGUUUUAAGAGUCAGAGCAAUUGUAAAAAAACAAAAAAAGACCCCUAACAUACAAAAAACAAAAUUUUUACUGAUCUUUCAUUUUCAGUACCAGGGAAUAGAAUAUUUUUCAAUGGGUGAAAGAGUUCAGGGCUUGUUUGUUUUUGUUUUUGAUCGAAGACCAUGUGGACUUUACAUUUGAGAUUUUUAUGCAAGAAAAGGAAAACAAUGAUUCCACCUGAUUCAUGUUGAUAUAUGUGUAUAGAUUUGUUAUUGAAUCAAAGAUCUGGUUAAACUCACCGUCAUGCAGAUUUUCAUUAGAUUUUAAAAAAAACUCUUUACUUUCUUUUCAAACUUUUUUCCUUCAAACUAUAUUUUAUGAUAGAAAUGACUGGAAAAAGUCUAUGGUUGUAAUGAUAACUACGAAUAAAUAUAACAUCUAGUUUACUCUUUAUGUCUGGAAAGUGUUUUCCCUAUUAUGCCAGAGCCCUCUUUUAAUGCGAAACAUGAGAGUGACAUGCACAUCACUAAACCGCCAUUAAAUCAAAACAAAUGAACCUAUUUUGAUAGUUGUUCAUCACAAUAAUGUCAGUGACGUAAUGAAUUAAAAGAAUGGGACGGAGCUGCUGACAGUGGAUCACCCAAACAGCAGUUCCCUCUGCAAGCCGCUUGGAGUUUCUUGCUGGGGAUAAAGAGUUACAUCAGUAGUUUAGCCUUUACUAUGGGGGUAUGCAUUACAUUUUGCUCAAUGUAUACUUCUUCUACUGUGAUAUAUAUAAUUUAACCUCCUGAUAUGAUUUCAAACAGCUAAAUCUGUAUUGUACUUUGGUGGUAGAAUUGUGACUUUGGAAGAGGAGUAGUAAGUGAAGUAAGUACCUGAACUUGUUGCCUUAAUCAGAUUUAUUUUUAUCUGUCGUGAAAUUACUCUUUUGAUUAAUAUAUGUACAUAUAUAUCUCUUUUGUAUUGCCUCGCCAAUUUACUUUGUACCUCUGUACUUCUUUUUAUUUGUGAGAUCUGAUGAAGGUCCCAGACCUCCCUCACUGACACUGUUUUGUAUUUUUGCCCUGGAAGAGGCUAUCUGAUAUUGAAAUAUGCUGUUUACACAAGUCUUAAUAUUUCUUUCUUUAGUUGUUCUUUCUGUAUGCUUUUCAUUUACUCUCCUCAUUCUUUUUUGUGUUUGUUACUCUCUUAUAACACCUCUAAUCUUCAGCACUUAUAUGACCUUAUUGUGUUGCAAGUACCGUAAAACUCUUACUAAAACUAAAAAAACCAAAGCUUUUCAUUUAUAACAUUUUUUUCGAAACAAUAAACUCCUGGAAAUUGUAUAAUUUUAAGAUUUAUCAUCAUAAGCAUCAUUUCCUGCUUGGAAAAGUUCAAAAUUGGCACAUUUUGAAAAAUGUCUUUUUAAUGGAAAGUAUGAAUAAAAACUACCAGUAUUACAAAUAUCUUAAACAGGACUGCUUGAAAUUAAUCACACAUACCAUGUCAAUGGCAUCAUGAAAUGGGAUAGCUAAAAAGUUUGUUUUUUUAAUUGCUGUUAGUUGUUUUGAUUGUUUUCUCUGUUCUGUUUGAACUGUACGGGUGCUGGACUGAUCUGGUCAUGCUUACAUAAUGACCUGUUUGUGGUCUUUACUCUUUCUUAUAUUAUUGUUAAAAUAAAAUAUUUCCCCUGAUUUCAUUUUGUAACGACAUGUAUUAUUGAAUUAUUUCCAUAUAUUCGUAAGGCAAUGCUACAGCUUGAAGCAUUUGCAUAUGUUACUUUUUUAAAACAGUAAUAUAUGAUCUCUUUUUUUUUUUCAGUUUUGAAGGGAAAGUGCCUUGGCCAGUGUACCAAGGUUCAUGUUGUGCUUGGUUAGGGUUGUGGUACGGUACCUAUUUAUUUUUUUGCUUCACUCUGGUCUAGAUGGCUUUUUUUAUUCUCUUUUGUUAUGCCAGUGUCUGUACACUUAUAUCGCAAUUUUGUAGUAAUUAAGCAGAGAUGCCUGUACCCCUCUCAGGAUUUGUUUUAUUUUAUCUUGUAUGUCCGGCGCUUGUUAUCCAAGAGGUAAGGUGCAUGCCAACCUACCUUGUGUGUCUGGCUUAAUGUCACAUCCAUGCAAGUAUUGUUGAUCAAUAUUUUUGGGGGGGAGUUUCUUUGUAACUUACACCCCUACCCUAUGGUAGUGGACUUUGAGCUCCCAGUCUUCUCAUAUGUGUCGAAAAUCUCAACUGUUCAUGUCCAAAAUACUUUCUGUGUAUAAAGGUGGAAAAGAAAUGGUAGCUAUCCUAAAGUAAAGAAACUCUGCAUAGGAGAAAUGAUUGAGAGAAUUUUCGAAAAUCGCAUUUAGCUGCCUGAAGACACCGGGACACUGAACUAUUGUUGGAGAACGGACUGAAAAAGUCAGUGGCAUGCUUUCUGGAAAAAUGUACGAUACACUACUGGAAGCUCUGUGAAUUAACAAGGGUAAGCCGAGAAGGUAGACAGAUUCUAAAAGAGCAACAGUGAACGAAGAGCUUUCGGGAAAAUCUCUCUAAGUACUUGUAAUAAUAUGGUAUUGUUUCAGAGUAUUAUCUAAAUCAGCUUUUGCAGAGCUCUUAGAGUGCCGUUUCCAGCUGUGCUAAAAGAUUGCUUCAGUGUUUAAUUGUAUUUGAACUGUAUUCCCUUCAAACGCAUUCUCCAUAGAUGCCAUAUUAUUAGAAGUAAAUAUCCUAACGACAUUUUUCUGAAAACUUUUGCUGAAAUGGGAAAAAAAUGUAUUAAAAAAUAUCCAAACAAUAUUUUUCUAAUAGCUCAGCUGAAAUGGAAAAAUGUGUAACUUUAGACCUCUUGUGUGAUUUACUGGACCUCAUGUGUGAUUUACUGAUCCUGUGUGAGUGUAAAGAUGCGAGUGUGCCAUGAUUUUACGUUGAUUGUGGUUUGUCAGUUGCGAUACUGGUAAUGGUAGAUGAGAUAUUUAUGUCUCCAAAGUUUGCAAUAAAUAAGCUUAAAAUAAUUGUUUGUGCAUGUAGAACAAUCUUAUAACAUUUGUUCCUGCAUGUAGAAUUGAACAACAGACACGAACAUGUUGGCUAAAUUGCUAGUAGUAUAUGUAUGGGUUGAUGUCAGCCUAUGAAAAGUCUGUUUCAUGUGCAAGAAUAACACCUAUUAUAGAUGACUAAUAAUAAUUUAAUAAAUUAUAGUUGCUAUCACUUUUGCUGAAUUUACACGUUUCUUUUCCCUGUCUGUAUGAUGUGAUCUUUCUUAUUAGCAUUUCUUCAAAGGUGGAAUGUUAUAACUAAAUGGUUUUGUUUGUUGUGUUUGUUGAAAAAAUAUUUGUGAGGCAUCGUGGUGAAAUCAGGCGCUCGUCAGAAUAAUAAUAUCGAAGAAACUUUCACUUUUCCUCUUGUUUGGCAAUUUUUAUCGAAUGUUUGUUUUUUGGCUCCGCACCUUUUAUGUCCAUUUAAAAAGAUAUUUAUGUGUGGAAAUCACUGAAAACAUCGAUUGGAGGCACAAAAAAAUGUAAAUUUUCAGUUUCCAAGAACUCUCAAGAUAUGGAAGUGACUGAACUUUGCUGGCCAUUUUCUAGCUACAUGUAAUUUUAUUCUUAAAACCAGGGAACCCAUCUCCUUCAAGUGCAAGUAUCUUAACUUCUAUUUAAGUUAGAUAGAUAGGUAUUUUUUUCACCAAGUGCAAGACAAAUGAACAAGCUCUAAGAUGUUACCAAUAACUCCAUAAGCCCAAAAAUUGACGAGUGCCUGAUUCCACCACGUCACAUCACAUUUUAUAAUGCAAAUAAAAUAUGUUUCAGUUGGAAAAA